GGAGAAAAGGGGAGGCAGAGCUCCUCCAUCUGAAUAGAGACACGGAGCGUCAGAUAAUGUGCCGAGAUCCCAGAAUGCGCUUUGAAGACGAGGCCCGAGGGACAGAAAGAGGGACCGGCUGUCUAGUAGAGUCUUCCUCCCUCCUCCAGGGAGACAAGUCAGUGGACUUGUCUGGACCUCCAGGACAGUGGGAUAGGGAGAAUGGAGGUGGGGGUGGGGAUGGCAGAAAGGAGGUGAAAAGGAACACCACAGGGUCCACGGGCUAGAGGAGGGCCACGGAACCUCCUGGCCUAGGCGGGGGUGUGGGGUAUUCGAGCUUCACAAAGUUGGACCAGCUGUUUCAAUCUGUGGCAUCUCGCCACAGGGUCGGCCUUGGCCAUUCAGCCCCUCUUGGUUUGUGGCCCCCGAGUAACCCCUGAGGACUGCGAGCGAUGUUCGAGUGGGCAGAAUAUGCCAGGGGAUGUGCCCACCGCCCACCGGAGGCUCCUGAGGCUCCUGGCCGUGCCCAUGAAGGAAACCCGCUCGGAGAUCCGGAGCCCGCGAGGAAGGUUGAAUGUGAAAACUGUGUCCCAUCCAUCAUUUCACUGACACUGUCCUACCUCCAAGACCCCAUCCCCUGUGGGAGGUUGGCCCACCCCACAGCAACUGGCGCCCAGGAUCAUGGACUCUUGGCUAGUUAAGAGACAGCACCUUGGAAACAGCAAGAUGGAUUUUUCAUUCCUUCACCCUUUUUUCUUCCUCAAGAUCUUGAGUAAACACCUUAAUUCUUAAAAGCAUGCUUUUGUGUUUAAUGUUUAUUUUGUGCGUCUCUAUGUGUGUCUGUGGUAACAAGUCCUCCUCUCAGUGUCUUCCUAAUUGGGCAUUCACAAAUUAUGAUCAGAGUCUUCCUGAAAGGAAGUAA
rnacentral:lncRNA from 1 species